CCCGUCCUCCCGGACCAACACUUGUGGGGAAAGAAAGAGGCUCCAAUGCUCCAUCUGUGUAGGACCCAAGCCCUGCUAAAAUGACAUUUAGUGACCCUGACUAAAGUUAAACCCUCUGCCCUGCCCUCUUCUCUGCCCCGAUGUCAGGCCAAACAGCCUCAUCUCCAACCCGGAAAGGGCAGAUUGCAACUCAGGGGAGUCUGGGUUCAUUACUGUGACCGGAGAAGGAAAAGCCAAGAGAAGCUGUUCUCCGACGAUGUCCUUUGAUCGCUCAGCUCCUGCCCUGUACCCUCUGCCUUGCCUACCACCCAGAAGGACCGAACUGUGUCACCACAGCCCCCGGCCGGAUAUGCUGGUGUAUCCUGGAUGUUGCUCCUCUCCGCGUUUCUGUUUCUUGCAGUCAGUAACAAAGAUUCAUCCUUGUGUCCUGUAAGCAACAGGGAGGGUCUUUGUCACUGAGUGCAAUUAAUGGUGGCCGACAGACCAGGAAGACAGAGGACCGGCAGAUGGGGGGGUGGGGUCUCCCCACCUCCACCUCUGGGGUCCUCCUGGAGGUUUGCAUUUCUGGAAGCCCCGAACUCCAGCAUGGGGAGUGAGGGAUGGUGGUGUUAGGACUCAUCUGUAAAAUGGGGAUUAAGAGUGUGAGCUCAGGGGGAGAGGGGGAAGAGGGGGAAUGUGUCUGUUUAUUGUUAUAUUGGACUCUCCCAAGUGCUUAGAACAGUUCUGUGCACACAGUAAGCGCUCAAUAAAUAUGCCUGUCUGACUGA